GACGAACGCUGGCGGCGUGCUUAACACAUGCAAGUCGAACGGAAAGGCCCUGCUUUUGUGGGGUGCUCGAGUGGCGAACGGGUGAGUAACACGUGAGUAACCUGCCCUUGACUUUGGGAUAACUUCAGGAAACUGGGGCUAAUACCGGAUAGGAGCUCCUGCUGCAUGGUGGGGGUUGGAAAGUUUCGGCGGUUGGGGAUGGACUCGCGGCUUAUCAGCUUGUUGGUGGGGUAGUGGCUUACCAAGGCUUUGACGGGUAGCCGGCCUGAGAGGGUGACCGGCCACAUUGGGACUGAGAUACGGCCCAGACUCCUACGGGAGGCAGCAGUGGGGAAUAUUGCACAAUGGGCGGAAGCCUGAUGCAGCAACGCCGCGUGCGGGAUGACGGCCGUCGGGUUGUAAACCGCUUUCGCCUGUGACGAAGCGUGAGGGACGGUAAUGGGUAAAGAAGCACCGGCUAACUACGU
rnacentral:rRNA from 1 species